rnacentral:pre_miRNA from 1 species
UCAGGAUUUUUGCUAGAGCUCUUCAGAAGACCAACAGUCUUUUACUGAGGUUGGUAAACUGAUAGCAAGCUUGGAGCUG